rnacentral:rRNA from 1 species
AAUCAACGCUGGCAGCGUGGAUGAGGCAUGCAAGUCGAACGAAUCUUGGUAGCUUGCUACUGAGAUUAGUGGCGGAAGGGUUAGGAAUACAUGGGUAAUCUGCCUUUAACUUGGGAAUAACGGUUGGAAACGACCGCUAAUACCGAAUGUGGUGGGGCGCGGCAUCGCGCUUUCAUUAAAGUGGGGGAUCGAAAGACCUCACGGUUAAAGAAGAGCCCAUGCGAUAUCAGCUUGUUGGUGAGGUAAUGGCUCACCAAGGCUAAGACGUCUAGGCGGGUUGAGGGAUUGACCGCGAACCCUGGGACUGAGACACUGCCCAGACUACUACGGGAGGCUGCAGUCGAGAAUCAUUCGCAAUGGGCGAAAGCCUGACGAUGCGACGCUGCGUGAACGAUGAAGGCCCUCGGGUCGUAAAGUUCUUUCGCUUGGGAACAAGAAAUGGGAGCUAACAUCUCUCAAAUUUGAGGGUACCAAGUAAAGAAGCACCGGCUAACUCCGUGCCAGCCGCCGCCGUAACAC